GACGAACGCUGGCGGCGUGCUUAACACAUGCAAGUCGAGCGGUAAGGCUCCUUCGGGAGUACACGAGCGGCGAACGGGUGAGUAACACGUGAGCAAUCUGCCCUUCACUUUGGGAUAACCACCGGAAACGGUGGCUAAUACCGAAUACGACCACUUCAGGCAUCUGAUGGUGGUGGAAAGUUCCGGCGGUGAAGGAUGAGCUCGCGGCCUAUCAGCUUGUUGGUGAGGUAAUGGCUCACCAAGGCUUCGACGGGUAGCCGGCCUGCGAGGGUGACCGGCCACACUGGGACUGAGACACGGCCCAGACUCCUACGGGAGGCAGCAGUGGUGAAUAUUGGACAAUGGGCGAAAGCCUGAUCCAGCAACGCCGCGUGAGGGAUGACGGCCUUCGGGUUGUAAACCUCUUUCAGCGGGGACGAAGCGAAAGUGACGGUACCCGCAGAAGAAGGACCGGCCAACUACGUGCCAGCCGCCGCGGUAAAAC
rnacentral:rRNA from 1 species